CGACGCAAUCAAAUUAUUUAUCCAGCAAGGGAUCGAUGUCAAUGGGGAAAACAACUACGAAAACAACGCACUCUAUUUAUUAUGUAAAUUUAAUAGAGGCGAAAGACUGAUCGAUGUAAUCCAACUGUUAAUCGAAUUUGGGAUUGAUGUCAAUGGGGAAAACGAUGAAGGAGACGCACUCCAUUUAUUGUGUCAAUUUAAUAGAAGCGAAAGAUUAAUCGACGCAAUCAAAUUGUUAAUCCAAGGUGGAUUUGAUGUCGAUGGCAACAAUGUGCGCUCAUUUCUAUGGGAGAAGGCCAAUAUUAAUUAUGAUAAAAUUAUUAAACUCUUUCAAUCAUUGACAAUUGAUUUCAUCUUCUGAUGCUUUCAGCCGAUCAGAAGUUAGUUGUCACAUUGACAACGUGAUAUGAACAUUUUUUAUUGUUUAACUUACAGUCAUGUCAAAGUAAUUUGCAGAAAACACUGAGCGAUUAAACGAAUCAUUAGGUAGUUAGCUACCAGCAAAGAAUUGUCGACAAAAUUAACGGGCAAGUAACCAAAGCAAAUGACUGGCUCUUCUCGGGAUAAUAGCACAACAAGUUUAAUUCAUUCUUAUUGGCAUUUCUAGAAACUUCGGCAGAUUUGAUGGGAACGAAGGACUUUGUCAAGGAAUAAGACAACAAAUGAACCGAGGAUAUAAGUCAAUUGAGGCACAUUCAAAGAAUCGCCGAAUAAUUCAACCAAACGCCAAGUUCAAGUUCAAAUUCCAUGCUCAACAUUUAGUAACAAAAGGCCAACAUUUACAGUUCAAUAUCUAACAGCAUUAUGACUUUUCCAAUAAAUAGGGAUUCAAAACCCAA